rnacentral:rRNA from 1 species
GAUCCUGGCUCAGGACGAACGCUGGCGGCGCGCCUAACACAUGCAAGUCGAACGAGCGAGAGAGAGCUUGCUUUCUCGAGCGAGUGGCGAACGGGCGAGUAACGCGUGAGGAACCUGCCUCAAAGAGGGGGACAACAGUUGGGAACGACUGCUAAUACCGCAUAAGCCCACGGGUCGGCAUCGACCAGAGGGAAAAGGAGCAAUCCGCUUUGAGAUGGCCUCGCGUCCGAUUAGCUAGUUGG